UACGGGGGGGGGCUAGCGUUGUUCGGAAUUACUGGGCGUAAAGGGCGCGUAGGCGGUCUGCUAAGUUGGAUGUGAAAACUCUGGGCUUAACCCAGAGCCUGCAUUCAAUACUGACAGGCUAGAGUUCUGGAGGGGAUAGCGGAAUUCCUGGUGUAGCGGUGAAAUGCGUAGAUAUCAGGAGGAACACCAGUGGCGAAGGCGGCUCACUGGCCCGGUACUGACGCUGAGGUGCGAAAGCGUGGGGAGCAAACAGG
rnacentral:rRNA from 1 species